rnacentral:misc_RNA from 1 species
GAUGAAGAACGUAGCGAAAUGCGAUACGUAGUGUGAAUUGAAGAAUUCAGUGAAUCAUCGAAUCUUUGAACGCACAUUGCGCCCUUUGGUAUUCCAAAGGGCAUGCCUGUUCGAGCGUCAUUUGUACCCUCAAGCUUUGCUUGGUGUUGGGCGUCUUGUCUCCAGUCCGCUGGAGACUCGCCUUAAAGUCAUUGGCAGCCGGCCUACUGGUUUCGGAGCGCAGCACAAGUCGCACUCUUUUCCAGCCAAGGUCAGUGUCCAACAAGCCUUUUUUCAACUUUUGACCUCGGAUCAGGUAGGGAUACCCGCUGAACUUAAGCAUAUCAAUAAGCGGAGGA